CCUACGGGGGGCAGCAGUGGGGAAUAUUGCACAAUGGGCGCAAGCCUGAUGCAGCGACGCCGCGUGGGGGAUGACGGCCUUCGGGUUGUAAACCUCUUUCACCAUCGACGAAGGCCCGCUUUUGGGGUGGGUUGACGGUAGGUGGAGAAGAAGCACCGGCCAACUACGUGCCAGCAGCCGCGGUAAUACGUAGGGUGCGAGCGUUGUCCGGAAUUACUGGGCGUAAAGAGCUCGUAGGUGGUUUGUCGCGUUGUUCGUGAAAUUCCCUGGCUUAACUGGGGGCGUGCGGGCGAUACGGGCAGACUGGAGUACUGCAGGGGAGACUGGAAUUCCUGGUGUAGCGGUGGAAUGCGCAGAUAUCAGGAGGAACACCGGUGGCGAAGGCGGGUCUCUGGGCAGUAACUGACGCUGAGGAGCGAAAGCGUGGGGAGCGAACAGGA
rnacentral:rRNA from 1 species